rnacentral:rRNA from 1 species
GACGAACGCUGGCGGCGUGCCUAAUACAUGCAAGUCGAGCGAAUCGAUGGGAGCUUGCUCCCUGAGAUUAGCGGCGGACGGGUGAGUAACACGUGGGCAACCUGCCUAUAAGACUGGGAUAACUUCGGGAAACCGGAGCUAAUACCGGAUACGUUCUUUUCUCGCAUGAGAGAAGAUGGAAAGACGGUUUACGCUGUCACUUAUAGAUGGGCCCGCGGCGCAUUAGCUAGUUGGUGAGGUAAUGGCUCACCAAGGCGACGACGCGUAGCCGACCUGAGAGGGUGAUCGGCCACACUGGGACUGAGACACGGCCCAGACUCCUACGGGAGGCAGCAGUAGGGAAUCUUCCGCAAUGGACGAAAGUCUGACGGAGCAACGCCGCGUGAACGAAGAAGGCCUUCGGGUCGUAAAGUUCUGUUGUUAGGGAAGAACAAGUACCAGAGUAACUGCUGGUACCUUGACGGUACCUAACCAGAAAGCCACGGCUAACUACGUGCCAGCCGCCGCGGUAACAC